rnacentral:rRNA from 1 species
GCAGUCGAGCGACAGAUAAGGAGCUUGCUCCUUUGACGUUUGCGGCGGACGGGUGAGUAACACGUGGGUAACCUACCUAUAAGACUGGAAUAACUCCGGGAAACCGGGGCUAAUGCCGGAUAACAUUUAGAACCGCAUGGUUCUAAAGUGAAAGAUGGUUUUGCUAUCACUUAUAGAUGGACCCGCGCCGUAUUAGCUAGUUGGUAAGGUGACGGCUUACCAAGGCAACGAUACGUAGCCGACCUGAGAGGGUGAUCGGCCACACUGGAACUGAGACACGGUCCAGACUCCUACGGGAGGCAGCAGUAGGGAAUCUUCCGCAAUGGGCGAAAGCCUGACGGAGCAACGCCGCGUGAGUGAUGAAGGUCUUCGGAUCGUAAAACUCUGUUAUUAGGGAAGAACAAAUGUGUAAGUAACUAUGCACGUCUUGACGGUACCUAAUCAGAAAGCCACGGCUAACUACGUGCCAGCAGCCGCGGUAAUACGUAGGUGGCAAGCGUUUAUCCGGAAUUAUUGGGCGUAAAGCGCGCGUAGGCGGUUUCUUAAGUCUGAUGUGAAAGCCCACGGCUCACCCGUGGAGGGUCAUUUGGAANCUGGGAAACUUGAGUGCAAAAAAGGAAAGUGGAAUUCCNUGUGUAGCGGUGAAAUGCGCAAAAUAUGGAGAAAACCAGUGGCGAAGGCGACUUUCUGGGCUGUACUGACCUAAU